GACGAACGCUGGCGGCGUGCUUAACACAUGCAAGUCGAACGGAAAGGCCCUGCUUGCCGGGUACUCGAGUGGCGAACGGGUGAGUAACACGUGGGUGAUCUGCCCUGCACUUCGGGAUAAGCCUGGGAAACUGGGUCUAAUACCGGAUAGGAGCCAUUUUUAGUGUGAUGGUUGGAAAGUUUUUUCGGUGUAGGAUGAGCUCGCGGCCUAUCAGCUUGUUGGUGGGGUAAUGGCCUACCAAGGCGGCGACGGGUAGCCGGCCUGAGAGGGUGGACGGCCACAUUGGGACUGAGAUACGGCCCAGACUCCUACGGGAGGCAGCAGUGGGGAAUAUUGCACAAUGGGCGCAAGCCUGAUGCAGCGACGCCGCGUGGGGGAUGACGGCCUUCGGGUUGUAAACUCCUUUCGCUAGGGACGAAGCUUUUUGUGACGGUACCUAGAUAAGUAGCACCGGCUAACUACGUG
rnacentral:rRNA from 1 species